rnacentral:tRNA from 1 species
UAGCUUAUUUGGUAGAGCGCUCCGUUGGAAAUGGAGAGGUCCCUGGUUCGAUACCAGG